UAGAAAUCAUGGAACAAGCCUGUCUUAACGG
rnacentral:piRNA from 1 species